GUUCGAUCGAUAAAACAAAAAACAAAAACAAUUCAUGUUUCCAAAUCGGUUCUAUUGGUAUACCUAUAAAUCGGUGAGCUUACGCGCGUAAUGGAGCGAAGAGAACGUGGUGUCGAAUUAUCACGGAAUCAGAAGCGAUCCGGAGGAGAGUCGUACCGGGUGUCGAGAAAUCUUUAGACGGCCAUGCAAUGGGACGAUCGUAGAGGCGUUCGACCCGGUAAUCUGCCGGCACUGACCUUCCACUUCCAGCGCAGUUGAAUAACGUAAUGUGUUUAGGGAAGCGUACAGCUGUACAUCUAGUUUUUGGUGAGAUUAACAAUGAAACAGCCUUUUUGUCCCGAGGUGCCACACACAUAAAUCUAUUCGGUAUUACGUUUGACGAACGAAGCAAAUAAGCGGAACGUAUGCAGAGUACGUUGGUUUUGCACACGCGUACGUUAACUUGAACAAUGAGGUUGCUGUUUAAAAAUAUCUUCGUGUCUGCAUCUUCUGCUACCGAAAGAGCGUUAUCUUUGCAGAUCUUGGCAUCGGAAGAAUGCUACCAAGAUGAUCUCGCUUCACUUACCAUAUAAGAUGCAGUACAAAAAGGAAUACGCCGGGAACGACCAGAUCGUCACUGCCGACAAUCCAACGGCGCCGGAACACUACGAUCCCUGGCAUGAUCCCAAUCAAUCUCCAAUACUAUGUUCUAACGACGCACUUCAUUCUUAACAUCGCCUCAAAAUCUGCCAAGAAAUGUCCAAUCUUUGAAGAAAAUAUUGUUCCCGAA